rnacentral:rRNA from 1 species
GACGUAGGGCGCAAGCGUUGUCCGGAUUUAUUGGGCGUAAAGAGCUCGUAGGUGGUUCGGUAAGUCGGGUGUUAAACCCCCAGGCUCAACCUGGGGACGCCACUCGAUACUGCUGUGACUUGAGUCCGGUAGGGGAGCGUGGAAUUCCUGGUGUAGCGGUGAAAUGCGCAGAUAUCAGGAGGAACACCAGCGGCGAAGGCGGCGCUCUGGGCCGGUACUGACACUGAGGAGCGAAAGCGUGGGUAGCAAACAGG